rnacentral:rRNA from 1 species
ACUUACGCUAAUACCGCAUACGACCUUCGGGUGAAAGCAGGGGACCUUCGGGCCUUGCGCGGAUAGAUGAGCCGAUGUCGGAUUAGCUAGUUGGCGGGGUAAAGGCCCACCAAGGCGACGAUCCGUAGCUGGUCUGAGAGGAUGAUCAGCCACACUGGAACUGAGACACGGUCCAGACUCCUACGGGAGGCAGCAGUGGGGAAUAUUGGACAAUGGGCGCAAGCCUGAUCCAGCCAUACCGCGUGGGUGAAGAAGGCCUUCGGGUUGUAAAGCCCUUUUGUUGGGAAAGAAAAGCAGUCGAUUAAUACUCGGUUGUUCUGACGGUACCCAAAGAAUAAGCACCGGCUAACUUCGUGCCAGCAGCCGCGGUAAUACGAAGGGUGCAAGCGUUACUCGGAAUUACUGGGCGUAAAGCGUGCGUAGGUGGUUGUUUAAGUCUGUUGUGAAAGCCCUGGGCUCAACCUGGGAAUUGCAGUGGAUACUGGGCGACUAGAGUGUGGUAGAGGGUAGUGGAAUUCCCCGGUGUAGCAGUGAAAUGCGUAGAGAUCGGGGAGGAACAUCCAUGGCGAA